GAGGGACCUUCGGAGUGAUCUUUCUCAGCCAGAUGGGCUGUGACAACCACUUGGCACAGGGAGUAUGGUAUUGACUCCAGCUGUUUCCUCAGGCUCCACUGUAGCCAAGUGGCGAUGGGUGGGGGGGGUGAGGGUGGGGUGCUCUUUACUCUCUUUUACUUUCAGUAGUUCCCUAAGCAAAGCUUAUAAUGGAAAACAUUCUAAAGAAAUUAGUGGAAAAGAGGAAGCUAAGCAUUGUCUAGUCCCUCGAACCUCCUGGUUCACAAUUCCUCAGAAGUGAACUGCACAGCCCAGGUAUAGAAUAAACGAAUAAACAAAUAGUAUCGCAACAUGCAAUCCGAACAGGAAAUGUCCAAAUUCCGUUGGUCCGUUUCCUCGGGGAAAGAACUGUGUGUCGAUAUGGAGAUCGCAGAUACAGAGCCGAAUGUUAAUUUGUAGCUGACCAGUAAGGUAUGUUUAAACAGCUUGUCUUUAAGAAGAUCCACAUAGCAGGUCCCAAAGCAUUAGACCUUCCUGCUCCCUCUGCAAUCAUGACAACACCUUCUAUCUAUAGUAAGACCUGGAUUUCAAUUUUUUGUGAGUUGCUCAACAUUCCUAUUUCCUCAUUUAGCCGACACUUCUCUCCAAAGCAGCUUGCAACAAUUGACCCGGUUAUACAGUUGAGUAAUUUUUUAACUGAAACAAUUUAGGGUAAGUUAAUCAGGUUGUUGCUCAAGGCUACUAAAGCUGGAGGCAAGAACCAAACUUACAACCUUUGGGUGCAAAGACAGCAGCUCUAACCACUAUCCUACCCAUUUCCCCUAGACUACGCCCUGUGCUGACCAUGCCGGACUACGGUGUGUCAUCACAACACCUCGCUCAGUACCCUCUGGACAGUUACAGGUCACUGCACCAUUGUGCAAUCCACAAAGUGAAGACACUGCCUGGAAAUGGAUACUAAUGUGGAAGGGAGACCUAUUGAAAGAGCCUCUUUUAUUUAUAGCCCUAUUUAUAGACUUCUGAGGAGGCAUGCUGUAGGAAAUACUGAGCUAAAUGUCAGCAAAAAUAUACGGAGCGCUAAAAUAUAAUAGCAGUCUCCAUCGCCAGCCCGUAAAAGCAGUAUUUUGUUUCCCCGACACUCUCUCCGCACGGUGCGCAAACUGCAAACAUGACAGUAAACCGGGGGAGCAAGUCAACACAGAAAAGAAGGGAAGAAGAACAGAAGACACGAAAAGGAAAUAGAAACAAAUUAAAGACUAAUCUUUUUUUUUCCUUUACGUGAAGAAAAGUACAUGAGUCACAUAUAGUUGGGAAGCCAGGCUUUUUCCAUUUCUCCUUACCCAGGUUUUAGCCUCACAUGGGAAUUCAAGACAAGGUUAUGAGCAAACAGAUGCUAUGAAGGAGAUUGGAACACAGCGUAACCAUGUGUCAUCAUAAACACCCCAAAGUGAAUACCAUUGAUGAUUUCCUGCUAUAUUAGUCUCAAUGAAUUAUUUUAACAUAUUUGACACUGAGAAUAUUUUUACCACUUUGUUUAAAAUAGGACCACACUGUUUAACAUCAUAGCUAAGAGACUAUUUAUGCCUGACGUAAUAAAAGGUCACUUUGCUCCUGUAAUUCA
rnacentral:lncRNA from 1 species